AUCCUACGGGGGGCAGCAGUCGGGAAUAUUGCGCAAUGGAGGAAACUCUGACGCAGUGACGCCGCGUAUAGGAAGAAGGUUUUCGGAUUGUAAACUAUUGUCGUUAGGGAAGAUAAAAGACUGUACCUAAGGAGGAAGCCCCGGCUAACUAUGUGCCAGCAGCCGCGGUAAUACAUAGGGGGCAAGCGUUAUCCGGAUUUACUGGGUGUAAAGGGAGCGUAGACGGCUGUGCAAGUCUGAAGUGAAAGCCCAGGGCUCAACCCUGG
rnacentral:rRNA from 1 species